rnacentral:rRNA from 1 species
GACAGAGGCCCCGAGCGUUAGGCGGAAUCACUGGGCGUAAAGCGCACGUAGGCGGGUCUUUAAGUCGGAGGUGAAAUCCUGGAGCUCAACUCCAGAACUGCCUUCGAUACUGAGGAUAUCGAGUCCGGGAGAGGUGAGUGGAACUGCGAGUGUAGAGGUGAAAUUCGUAGAUAUUCGCAAGAACACCAGUGGCGAAGGCGGCUCACUGGCCCGGUACUGACGCUGAGGUGCGAAAGCGUGGGGAGCAAACAGG